rnacentral:lncRNA from 1 species
UCGCCGUGGAUAUAAAUCUAGCAUUCACAUAGUAGACGUGCCAACCUUUGCAUGAUCCUUAGAAAUAAAGUACAUAAUGAUAGACCAGUCCUAGUCACAGUGAUUUUUUUUAAUUUUAGUUACUGAAGCCCCAAGUCUGAUCUUCGACGGUUUACAAACACGUUUAAUGCUAUUAGAAAAUGCUAUUCCAUUAUAUUCCCUGAACUCUCUGCAUCUAACUGUUAUGUAUUUUUUUCCCGGUUACCAACCUUUCCCCCUGAAAUACCUG